rnacentral:rRNA from 1 species
GAUGAACGCUGGCGGCGUGCUUAACACAUGCAAGUCGAACGAACCACCUCUGCCGUUGCUCGUCUCAGCUUGCUGUCGAUUGAUUCAGUUACGGUUACUGAGUGUCGGACGGGUGAUUAACGCGUGGGUAGCCAGCCUCAUAGAUGGGGACAACAGUAGGAAACGACUGCUAUUACCGCAUAGUAAGAAGUAUUCGCAUGUUUUCUGCUUGAACGAUUUAUCGCUAUGGGGUGGACACGCGACCGAUUAGCUAGUUGGUAAGGUCACGGCUUACCAAGGCGAGGAUCAGUAGCCGGCAAGUGAGAGUGAACGCCCACUUUGAGACUGAGACGCGGCCCAAACUCCUACGGGAUGGAGGAAUGGGGAAUAGAGCACCAUGGGGGGAAUCCUGAUGCAGCGAGGACGCGUGAGUGAAGAAGUAUUUCGAUAAGUAAUGCGCAAGUAGCUAGGAACAUCAUGACGGUACCUAACUAGGAAGCCCCGGCUAACUACGUG